UACGAAGGGAGCUAGCGUUGUUCGGAAUCACUGGGCGUAAAGCGCACGUAGGCGGAUGUGUCAGUCAGGGGUGAAAUCCCGGAGCUCAACUUCGGAACUGCCUUUGAUACAGCACGUCUUGAGUCCGAUAGAGGUGGGUGGAAUUCCUAGUGUAGAGGUGAAAUUCGUAGAUAUUAGGAAGAACACCGGUGGCGAACGGCGGCC
rnacentral:rRNA from 1 species